UGGGGAAUAUUGCACAAUGGGGGAAACCCUGAUGCAGCGACGCCGCGUGAACGAAGAAGGUAUUCGUAUCGUAAAGUUCUGUCCUAUGGGAAGAUAAUGACAGUACCAUAGAAGAAAGCUCCGGCUAAAUACGUGCCAGCAGCCGCGGUAAUACGUAUGGAGCGAGCGUUGUCCGGAUUUAUUGGGCGUAAAGCGAGCGCAGGCGGUUAGAUAAGUCUGAAGUUAAAGGCAGUGGCUCAACCAUUGUAGGCUUUGGAAACUGUUUAACUUGAGUGCAGAAGGGGAGAGUGGAAUUCCAUGUGUAGCGGUGAAAUGCGUAGAUAUAUGGAGGAACACCGGUGGCGAAAGCGGCUCUCUGGUCUGUAACUGACGCUGAGGCUCGAAAGCGUGGGGAGCGAACAGG
rnacentral:rRNA from 1 species